UACGUAGGGUGCAAGCGUUGUCCGGAAUUAUUGGGCGUAAAGAGCUUGUAGGCGGUUUGUCGCGUCUGCUGUGAAAUUUCGGGGCUCAACCCCGAACUUGCAGUGGGUACGGGCAGACUAGAGUGUGGUAGGGGAGACUGGAAUUCCUGGUGUAGCGGUGAAAUGCGCAGAUAUCAGGAGGAACACCGAUGGCGAAGGCAGGUCUCUGGGCCAUAACUGACGCUGAGGCGACGAAAGCGUGGGGAGCAAACAGG
rnacentral:rRNA from 1 species